rnacentral:ncRNA from 1 species
CGCCUAUUGCCACCGGGUAAUAGGAAAGACGUCAUUUCUUUAUCGUUAGGUCUUAGAAGAUAAAGAAGUGGCGUAUUUUUUUUA